rnacentral:rRNA from 1 species
UACAGAGGUCCCAAGCGUUGUUCGGAUUCACUGGGCGUAAAGGGUGCGUAGGUGGUCGGGUAAGUCUGAUGUGAAAUCUCCGAGCUUAACUCGGAAAUGGCAUUGGAUACUAUUCGGCUAGAGGGUUUGAGGGGGGACUGGAAUACUUGGUGUAGCAGUGAAAUGCGUAGAUAUCAAGUGGAACACCAGUGGCGAAGGCGAGUCCCUGGAAAACUCCUGACACUGAGGCACGAAAAGCUAGGGGAGCAAACAGG